AACGUAGGAGGCGAGCGUUAUCCGGAGUUACUGGGCGUAAAGAGCGCGCAGGCGGUCGUUCAAGUCGAGUGUGAAAGCCCCCGGCUCAACUGGGGAGGGUCAUUCGAUACUGAUCGACUGGAAGGCAGGAGAGGGAAGUGGAAUUCCCGGUGUAGUGGUGAAAUGCGUAGAUAUCGGGAGGAACACCAGUGGCGAAGGCGACUUCCUGGCCUGUUCUUGACGCUGAGGCGCGAAAGCUAGGGGAGCAAACGGG
rnacentral:rRNA from 1 species